rnacentral:rRNA from 1 species
GACGAACGCUGGCGGCGUGCUUAACACAUGCAAGUCGAACGGGAUAAUUUGAGAGCUUGCUCUUAGAGAAUCUAGUGGCAAACGGGUGAGUAACACGUAGACAACCUGCCGACAGGAUGGGGACAACAUUCCGAAAGGAAUGCUAAUACCGAAUGAAGCGGAGGAGAGGCAUCUCUCCUCCGUGAAAGAUGGCCUCUGAAUAUGCUAUCACCUGUCGAUGGGUCUGCGUCUGAUUAGCUAGUUGGUGAGGUAACGGCUCACCAAGGCGACGAUCAGUAGCCUGUCUGAGAGGAUGAACGGCCACAUUGGGACUGAGACACGGCCCAGACUCCUACGGGAGGCAGCAGUGGUGAAUCUUCCGCAAUGGGCGCAAGCCUGACGGAGCAACGCCGCGUGAGUGAAGAAGGUCUUCGGAUCGUAAAGCUCUGUUGACGGGGACGAACGUGCGAAGGGUGAAUAAUCCUUUGUAAUGACGGUACCUGUCGAGGAAGCCACGGCUAACUACGUG